rfam:Picea glauca, whole genome shotgun sequence.
AUGUACAUUCUUGCAACAUAGCGUUAAUGCAUCGGAUCCCAUUAGAACUCCACAUUUAGGCACACUCAGGCUAGAGUAGUACUGGGAUGGGUGACCUCCUGAGAAUUCCUAGUGUUUUACAUG